rnacentral:lncRNA from 1 species
UGCUGCCUUUGUUCAGCCUCUCAAGCAAGCGUGGUUCCUCGUACCACUGGCCUGGGAAAGAUCAAAGCUCAAAGGACGGUUUCUACUGUGUGCCGAUGGCUUUCAUACCACCAUAAGGAGGAAAAAUUGUAAGUCAAACUACUUUAAAUUGGGGACUGUUUGUACUUUAAAACAUUUUAAACCACUUGGAAGAGACAAGAAUAAUGACUGGAUACAUUUGGAAAACUCCAUGCCAUAUGUGUUGCAGCUCGUCUACACAGCGGCUGCAUAGCUUCCUCCACGUUCACUCAGCCUCCACAUGGACUCAAGGGCAGAAAGCAAAAGCACUCCCCUCCCCAAAUGCUGAUAAAUAUGGUCUAUCUGCGGUAUUAAUGAUUUUUUCAAUUCACAAAUCAGUUGUCUUUUCCGGGUACCAUUGGAGAAAUUUAACUAUGAAGCUCAUGAGGGAUGGCAAAGUCUGAGCACCCUGGAUGGCGCUGUGCACGCGGAGGGUGAAGUUGUGGUCCCUGCUUCUCAGCAUUCUGGUGAAUCGGUUAUGCAGUGCUUUUCUAGGAAGUGGCUCUGAAUCCGCAUGCACCUCUACACUUCUGUGAAAUGGUAGAGAUGCUUCACUUGUGAGAGGAAGACUGAGGUCUCCAGUUUAAAACCUUUAGUGAGCAGUGACUUGGGGAGUGACUGUCCUGUAUGAUGCGUGCCCCUCAAAGUUACCGCUCUGCAGGCUCCAGACUUCUUCGUCGUGGGUUGUGGUCUGAGCCGUGUCCUUGUGCCGAUUGUACUGGGAAUUGAACCCAGGGCUUUUACACUGAGCUACAUCACCAGCCCUUUGCAUCUUGAGACAGAAUCUUGUGAAGUCUCUAAUUGCCCAGGCUGGAUUUGAACUUGCAGUCCUCUUGCCUCAGCCUACAAUGCCAUGCAUGGUUUCAUAAGUGUUGUUAGAAAGCUACAUUCCCCAAAAAGCCUACGAUUUUUAUAACUCCUCCCCACCUUCUAGCAGACUUAAUACAAGUUUAUCCCAAUAUGUAUAAGUCUUGCAAACAGGACAUUCAACCAGUCUGUGCAUCAGUCACUCCCUGGAACACCCGGAGACCUGUCUUCCUCGCGCUCCAUGGCAGGUUCUGGGGAUGGGGCUGACAGUGGACACUCACUGGCACACCAGCCAGUGCCUACAUCACUGGAGUCCCACAUUGUGACUGUCGCCCUGGGCCAGGAGGCCGCUGUUACCCCAGGUGCAUGACCCUGGCAGACAGUGCUUCAACCCUGAGGCCCAGCUCCAGCCCUUCCUCCCCUGCUGCUUCUCCAGCCUUCCUGUUCCAUGGCCGGGCAGCUUGUCCUCUUCUCCACUGAGUCCAGUCUCUGCAUGAAGCAGAUCUUAAGCACAGCAUUUUCAUCUUUCUGUUCAUCACCCUGGAAUGGGUGCAGAUUCCCCAGUGCCUGAGCAAGAUGACUUCAGGGACUUUCUAGGCAAGACCGUGCCUUUUCCUUCUGAGAGAAAUAAAAUGAGCCGAAUCAUGAACACCCAAGGCAAGGCUUUUAUCAAAGGACAGAGCUAUCGGGCUGUCUGGAACAACGUCAAGAGCGGCAACCUGGGGCUGGCUGGGUGAGGUUUAUAAGGACUGGGGGUAGUGUGGUAGAGGCAGAUGAUUGGCUACGACUCGGGGUGAGGUGGGGAAAAAGCAGGUCUUUGUUCUCUCUGGAGUGACUCAUUUCCUGUAGGCAGGGCCAUUUUAGGAUGCAGGGUUGUUGGGACCAUUUUAUCUAGCAGAGAACUCUAUCACCUUCCACGGUUCCUCGUCCUCUAGCGUCCUGUGUUGGGUUUUCCCAGAAGACAACUUUAAGAGGAGGAUUUGAGUCCAAGGGAUUUAUUUUGGGGGUGAAGUGAGUGGUUUCCCCCAUGAGCACCUGCAUGACCACACAGCAUCUCUGAAUUACCCCAUGCAGGGAAGGUGAGCGAGCAUGGGGGUUCCCCUCCAUUCCCUGGGGUCAUCAGGUGGAGCUGCGGUGGCAUGGCCAGCUGCCAGGGCAUGCCUGUCAUGGUGAGCAGCAAAGCUGUCGUCUUGGUGACUUUGGAAGCCUCGGGAGGAAGCACUCAGGGUACAAGUCCCAAGUGGAUUUACAGGACUUCUGGAGCCCACACUACCCAAGAAAUAAAUCGUGAACAGGUUUACAGGACCUCCAAGGUGAGUCAUUAUUUUAACAGGGCUUAUGCUUCAAAGUCAGGUGUGGAAGAUGUGAAAGGGCUGUUUGCGUGCUGGAAGCCAGCAGAUGAGCUCCAAGGUGAGGGUGGAGAAUGGAGCUGCCUUGAAGAAGUAAGGCUUCCUUCUUUGUUCCUUUCUUUACUCCGUUGUUGUUGUUCGGGACACAGCCUGUUGGUAGGGGCCACUCACACCCAAGGCGGGUCUUCUGUCUUCAGUAAAUCCUUUCAGCCACACCCAGAGCUACGCUAAUCAUUAGCGGUGCAUUUCUUACUCCAGUUGAAACAAGGGCUAUCGCACUCUCCUAGACCAAAACCCAAGAAGUCCCUGGGAAGUGCUACUUACAAAGCAGCUUGCAGGCCUGUGUCCGUGAGGGAGAAUGCUGGGUGUACAAAUAAGGGCCCCAGAUCCCUCUCUCUCUUCCUGAUCUUUGUCGCUCCAGGGUGCCCUCUCUUCAAAUCUGCAGCAGCGUGGGCUGAAGGGGGUGCCACAUUGCCUGUCUGGCUGCACUCCUGCUGGAGUGAAGAGCGCAGUUUGAUAGCGGGGAGGGGGACGCACUAGAUGGCCUGGGGGGACACUGAAGCAAACUGCCCCAGGCAGUUAGGGUGCAAGGAGGGGCAAAGGGAAGUGAGGGGGAGGGGCAGACAGCUGGUGGCCACCCAACCCCCCCAUCACAGGGCAAAAUGAGAGUAAGGUGCUUUGUGGCUGUCUGGCGGUGAAGAAACGAGCACACAACACUCCUGCCCUUGAGAGUCACGGACUCUGCUGGGGAAUGCCAGUAUGCGCCAUUAUUCUUUCUAG